rnacentral:rRNA from 1 species
UACGUAGGGUGCAAGCGUUAAUCGGAAUUACUGGGCGUAAAGCGUGCGCAGGCGGCUUUGCAAGACAGAUGUGAAAUCCCCGGGCUCAACCUGGGAACUGCAUUUGUGACUGUAGAGCUGGAGUACGGCAGAGGGGGAUGGAAUUCCGCGUGUAGCAGUGAAAUGCGUAGAUAUCGUCAGGAAUGCCGGUGGUGAAGACGGGUGACUGGGCUGGUUCUGACACUGAGGCACGAAAGCGUGGGGAGCGAACGGG